AUCAGGUCGGUGGCGCUCGGAAAAGGCUGGAUUGGCCAAUGGACGACUUUGUUAAGCUGGCGAUAAUCAGUCACCAGCCUCACUUUGUUCGUCCUCGGCUUAGGCACAAAAUUUGCCGGGCUGAUCCAGUCCGUGGGACCGUGGUAGCGCUCCAUGACUCGCGCCUCUUCCAGCUCGCGCAUCAAAGCCGCAGAAGGAGUCUGGUGGUGGACGGGUAUCUGGCGAGCAGUCGUAACGUGGCAAGGCUUGAUGUUUUUCAAUUUUUCGGGGUCUAUUUCGAUCUUUGUCUUCUUGAACUUAUAAUACAUCCGUCGAGGUCUUUGCUCACUCCACGGACCAGAACGUCUACAAAUUCGGCCUUCACCUCGGCCAGAAGGCGGCCCAUGUACUUCGCAUUGGCUUCGCCUGGUCAGCGAGUGUAAUCACAACCGUCGCCGUUGAAGUCUUGGACGCAAAUCUUCCAUGUGCCCACAAGUAAGGCGUCGCCAUCGUUGUAAUUUGGCAUACAGCGUUCAUUUCUAGACAUACAGUAAGCAUCUGAGGCCCAUUCUGCAUUCACCUCAGUGCAUUCCUGAAUAUCCGUAGUGGCAACAGUCAUCUCUUCCCCGAUUUGAAUGUGGACGUAAUUCACACAAGGACUGACUCAGAUUCUGGAGGACUCAGCAAUUCUGGAUUGAUUCGUGGAAAGUUCUGUGGUAAGAUGCCAAGCGCAACAAUCCCUCCAUCUAAUGAGUGGGAGGCCCGUCAAAUCUGCCCAACAAAUGACCCUGAUCUCGACCUUGCGCCCCACGAGACCACUGGACUCUCAUACCCAGAGAGAGAAGGAGAUGAUGAAAACCGCCUAGAAGAAAGGAGAGAGGGAAAACUGACAAGACAGCCCCAGAAUCCGACACCACCCAGACGGUCAAUGUCUUGAGCUUGAGGAAAUAAAAGUACAGUCGUCCUUGGCAUCUUCUGAAGACCCGGGUUGAUCACGCAAAUUUGUGCCUUCUCUUUGCUGACCUCUGCAAUUAGCAACUGGACCGCGUUGAUUGCUGCUGCGUUGGCGCCGAUUCCGUAGUUUCCUCGAGCUCAACCCGCCAUUGACGUCCUUGGUCGCGACAUGUAGCGUGUCCAUGACCAUGGCUGGGCGUAGCCCGGCAAUAUCUCGCAAAAUGGCCGGUUCUCUUGCAGUUUUGCAGAUGAUAGUUCAUGACCCACAGACUGAUGGUGAGUGCUGUUUGCCCCCACAAUUCGGACACUUCAUUGCAGCUACCGCAUUGAGCGCUGCAUCUGACUCAAAAUCCAUCUCCUCUGUGACAGCGAGUGUUGCAGCCAGAGUCGUCGUCGCCUGCAAGGAAUAAGCGACCUCAAAAGCUGCGGCUGCAUCCAGGAAAUCUUGCAGUGAAGGGUUCUUGAGUUUCAGGAAGUUGCAUUGUAACAACGGCCUCGCCGAGGCCAUGCUGAGGAGGCAAAAUAUCAUCCAAUCAUCUUUCGUCAUGUACUUGAUUUCAGCCUCCAAACUAUGCGUCUUCAGAGCAUUGUAGGCUUCUGGAAAAGUUUGUCCGUGUGACAUGGACGCCUUGAACCAUGACCAUCUGUGUUGGAAGGUCAAUACGCCUCAAGAAACCUGGCUUUCAAUAUCUCAUAGCAUUUGUGCAUCAUGGACGUGGAUGUAGUGCCAGCGGCAACGAAAUUGGCAAGACCCAUGUACAGUCCCGCGAGAAGGUAUGAGUGUUGCUCCGAAGAGUGUCUGUCUGUAUUGGAAGCCAAAUGACAAGAAUUGAAUUUCCGCAGCUACGCAGUGAACUCCUGUUGCGAGAAGGUGACGCCAAGAUCAACCGGCUUGAGGCCCAUCUGUUCCUAGAACAUGGCUCUUGGUGUUGUGGUUGAGACAUUCGUGGUUGGGGUCAGGGUUUCAUCGCCACCCCACGCACUUGUUGUUGCGCAAGCUCCAUCUCAUCAUCAAUGGCUUUGAUCUCUGCCACAGUCUUGGCGCUGGAGUCAGCUCGGCCAAGAUCCUUAAGAUGCUCAUCGCCCUCUUGGAUUGCGGCCAAAACCGAGCUAACCGUGUCCCGAAAAGCAACGUCAUCCACUGUGGACGCAUCCCUGUUGGCAGUCUCCAGCACGGACUUGACGUCCCGAAACACUGCUUUUUGACCUACCACAAGUUUUUUAUGGUCGGUGCUGAGGGAGGUGCCAUGGUGGCCUUGACGUCCCAGUCCUGACCAAAAGUGUCUACUGAGGGAGAUAAUGAUCUCAACUUUCCAAUGACAGUGAAAGGCUCCGUCCAAGAAAGAAACCAAAAAGUAACCCAGAAUAGUGCAGUGUGGCGAGUGUCUAUCUGAGGUCAAAUCCCGGAGCUAGAGGCUCUGUAAACCCGUUGGGCGCAGUCUGUCAACGGGACGAUGACUGCGCCAUGCAAGGAUGGAAACAGACGAAGCGGAAAUGCGGGGAAAGAAUGGGAACAAUCCAUUAGGAAAUGGUGGUAAAUCAUCCCAUCGCAGUCAAAGAAAACAAUAAGCAUCCGUUUCUUCUCGCGGUUCAAGUUGAAUGCCUUUGUCGGACCUUUUGCUCCAACCUUGGACCAUCGCUUGCUUUGGUUCUUCAUCUCAGGAGUUGAAAAUGAGAUCCACGAUUCAUCCGUUGUGACAAUUUUUCGCAAAACUGAACUUCUCUCUUGGAAAACCAGCUUCUUGUAUUCAUGCGCCAUCGUCAGAUGUCCCUUCUUGUGAUCGUCUGACAAUAGGCACGGGACCCAAAGAGCAGCCUUUUUCUUAAGAUGAAGGUCUUCAUGAAUGAUCCUUUCGAUCGUAGGAGCAUUUGCUAACAAUACAAGCAAUAAUAUAACCCCUAAUGAAUUCAUAAAACAAAUGGAAAUGUGUUGCUUGUAUUUUUAUUUAAAAUUGUCCGUUUGCUUUCAGGUAAUGAUCCAGGUACGUUAACACCAACACUAAUAUCUAACUCUAAACUGUCAAAAACUCUACUGAAAUUGCAAAUGACUUUUUCAGCAGUAUCCUUUCUUGAGAGAGGGGUCAAACGUCUACGUAUAUUCGUAGUACAUGGUCCUUCUUGCAAUGCCUACCAGAGCCAAUGUCUCUUGUUGUUUACACUUUGACGGAGGGGGGGAUAGAGUAACAUCCCUACAUAAGGUAUAUAAAACUGCACAUUUGUCAUAAAUUUAUUUUCAGUAUGCACAAUGUUGUUUGCGUUAUGAAUACAAAUAGGGAUGAUAACUUUCUUUCUCUCUUUAUCGGAAAUUUGUGAGGGUUGCUCUAUCCGGUUCUCUUCCGGCGAUCUCUUUGCUCAAGCCCCAUUUAACCCGUUAAUGGGCGACCAUAAUUCGAUUUUUACAACCAUUGGUUGUACAGAUU